CAGCUACACGGCUCUCGUCUUUUUGUCUUGGCUAUUUUACACGGCUCUCGUCUCUUUGUCUUUUCUCUCUCGGCGGCUAGGGUUUUGGCGCAGCUUUCUCAGUCUCCCACAUCAGAGAAAAAUGUAUCGGUCUGAGCUACGCCUUCAAUGCUUGUCCCUCGUCCUUUUGGUUGUACUUGUCCCUCAUCUUUUAUCUGAUGCUCGGCCUCUGAAUCGAAGCAUGGAGGUGGAGGGGAAGAAGAAGCAAUCCUUAUCCAAUUCAACUUUUGAGGCACCGGUCGAGAUUCCAGCCGGAGGUCCGCCAGCUAUGUAUUCCCCUCCUUCCCACAUUGGAAACCAUGAGAUGGGUAGUGGUGGUCAGAGGAGGGUUCAUGGUGGUGAAUAUCUUCCACUUGAUAAAGGUCCAGUCCCACCUUCUGCCCCCAGUCCAAUCACACACGGGCCAUGAUUCUAUUUGCAACUUUGAGACGAGUAGUGCUGGUCAGAGGGUGGGUUCAUGCUGCCUACAUAUGUACUUCAUUAUGCCCUGUUUCGUUUCGUUUUAUGUUGUGGAAAAAAAUGGGAACUUUAUAUGUUGG